rnacentral:rRNA from 1 species
AUGUCCAAGCCCUUGCUGUUCACCUUCCCAGCCUCCCUUCCAAGCUCCACCAGCCUGAUGGCUGAUCUGACCUGUGGACGGUGCUACGCUGAGCGAUCGACUGGCAUCCUGCUCAGCCCUGCCGUCAAGCGCGCCCUAUGGGCUCGCCAUCUCGCGCUCCCCGUCAUAAGACUCGUGAUGGGCGAUGGGGUGGAUGAUCUGACACGCCUGGCGACCCAGAGGAGAAGGAUUUGGAGAGAAGCUGGUGACAUGAGAGAGAGGGGGAUAGACCCCUUUGGCUACUGCACUAAGUUUGAGAAUGGCAAGAAGAUGCUUAUUCUCCAUGGUACAAGGACUAGCGCAGUUUUGAAAUUCGUGCUGGCAGACGUUUUUCACCUGAUGCGUGAUCAUUAUGUGAAGUAUGCCAAUAACAAGGACAACAACAAGACAUUUGAGAGUAAGGGUCCAACUUCCCUGGAGGUGUGA